AAAAGGUCAGCUUCUGAGGAGACGGACUUGAAGGUGCUCACGGAGACCAGCUGUGAGUUGUCACGUCCACCCUCGACCAGCAAGGAAAAACGCAACACCCGGAACUCUUCUUGCAGUAGUUUUCAGGACUUUAUUCACAGCAAUAUAUCCCCUUCUCCUUCUCCUCCUUCUCCUUCUUCUCUUUCUCUCUUUCUCUCUCUUCUCUCCUUCCUCUCUCUCCUCUCUCUGGGCAAAUCUCUCUGCCCUUAAGUAGGCAUGGGCUGCCAAUCCCGAACUGCCAGGUGGGCACCGUCCAUAGGUUCACGCAUAUGCAGGCAGCUGAUGAUCAUUGUGUGAUCAGGCAUAGGUCAGACUUUAGCCAUAGGAGUUGAUUAUACAUCUCCAUCAGGUGUGUCACCACGCAGCUUGCCACAGUGAGUUGCAGCCCGGGGCUUCCAGACGCACUUAGCGGUUGUGAAAGUUGCCUGCACCUUCAGCCUCUGGCCAUGCAGCUGCCCCUCACUGAUCCCAUGCACUCUUCACUGCUAAUGCAACACACUUCUCUUUUCUUCUUUUUCUCUAAAUUGCCGGCACGUUUUUCAUGGUUAGAGUCACUGUGUGUGUCAUCCUCCCCUCAUUCCCAACGUCGUCACUGUGAGCUCUAUACUUUCAGGAAGUUCUAACUUGUCUCAUGCAUCUUCUUGCAAAGUGUAGCCCACACAGUACAGUUGACAGUGUGAACGCUGUGUGUCAUCCCUGUCUGUGCACCGAAGAAAUUAAAACAUGUCUAAACCCCCUACAUUUGGGUAAAUUCCUGAAGAGCUCGUUUCUGAGAGCAACUCCAUGUGUCGGUAGCCCACCACUGCUGGAAGGCUUGAGCUGCCUGUUUGCCACACUCUUUGGGACAUCUGCUUUCUGCUCUGGUUCUUCAUGAGUUCAGUUUGUCUGUCAGAGCCAUUGUGUCUGCGCUGCUAUCUUAGUGAACAGGUAUGUUCAUGCGUUCGGGGGUGUGUAUGCUCUUAUUAUCUGUUACUGCAGAAAGUGGCCUAUGAAUGUUCUAGAGCACUUUAUAAAUUCCUCAUCAGAUUCUGACAAGUAAGUACAUUUUUAAUCAAAAACUUAGAAUGCUUGUGUGUUAACCUCUUGUGAUUUCAGACCUCUGGGAUCUUUCAGGAUUUCCACAGUUGGCAUUCAUUACAGUGCUGAGGAGUAGGUCUCUCUGUAUUAUGGUCCAAACUCUAUGCCAGGAAAGUCUUGAAGUGUUGACGUUUGUUCAGUAGGCUGGGAAACUGAGACUCAAAGCGAGAGACUUUCUAAGUCUUCUCCAGAUAUACAAUGAAGAUGGAUUCAGUAAUGACCUAUUUAUUGACUACAGCUUUCACGAUAUGUCUUUUGGGUGAUGUGCAUGUAAUAGGUCUCAGCAAUUUUGUCCCUUUAGAGAAAUCAUUUAACAGAUGCCCCUCUGGUCCCUGUCCCAUAUCAGGAGCUACAGCUACAGCCUCGGCUCCAAGGCACCUCUAGGCCUUCAUGGAAAGAGCAAAGCAGAUGAUGCCUGUUAGUAUGUAGUGAAGGUUGAUAUCAGCCGUCUAGUGUCUGGGCAUCCCUUGGAGAAAGCGCUUACUGCUCUUCAUCUUUGGACCAUCAGCAGGGAUUGUGGCUCAGUGCAAGCAGCUGACACAUGCUGAGAGGCAGCAGGAGGGCCAGAGCUGGAGCUGACUCUUCUAUAGUGGGGAGGAGAGGGCGAGAAAGAACUAUGGAAGUCUGAAUCCACACUUGCGGCUAGACAAGUAGACCUGCCCUUCUUCUGCCAGGCUCCAGGGUUCCAAGAGUCAGGCUCAAGACCUGGGUAAAAUGUGAUGAUAAUAAUAGCCUCUAUCUCUCAGAAGAGAAUUUCCUCUGUGAGAAAGUCAGCUGGGACCUGUAGUUAGAGGAUGGACAUCCUAAGAACAAGAGCCUCUCUCUGCUUUGUUCAAAUGUCCAAUACAUAAUUUCGCUAGUCAUGUUGGAUAGACUUCAAAGGGGGGAGGGUUGCAUGAGCCGUGCUGGAAGCCCUGGCAAUGGUGUCCUCCAGGUCUGGGUCUCUUGUGGGUGAGAGCUUCGUUUGCUCCACUCUUUCCUCACUGCCUGGCUGGACCAGGGUCCUUUCUGAACGCUCUACUCUAGUAGACAAAGUCUCCUUACCUUUUCCAAGGAGGUCAUCUGUGUGGCCUAACUCCCAGAACUCUUCUCCCAUGUUCAGUACCCACAACAUCAUGUGUCUGUGACUUUAUUUCUUCAUUUUCCUUCUUUAGCCAUAGCCAGGAGAGAGUUCUCGAUUUUUAGUAUUGCAGAGAUGGAUUGGGUCAGCUUACUUAAUCCAGGUGAUUUCUGUCUUGCAUGUUGUUGGUACCCUAGGCAAAAUUUUAAAAGUUUCUUUGCCAUGUAAGAUGGC